rnacentral:rRNA from 1 species
GAUGAACGCUGGCGGCGUGCCUAAUACAUGCGAGUCGAGCGAACAGACGAGGAGCUUGCUCCUCUGACGUUAGCGGCGGACGGGUGAGUAACACGUGGAUAACCUACCUAUAAGACUGGGAUAACUUCGGGAAACCGGAGCUAAUACCGGAUAAUAUAUUGAACCGCAUGGUUCAAUAGUGAAAGACGGUUUUGCUGUCACUUAUAGAUGGAUCCGCGCCGCAUUAGCUAGUUGGUAAGGUAACGGCUUACCAAGGCGACGAUGCGUAGCCGACCUGAGAGGGUGAUCGGCCACACUGGAACUGAGACACGGUCCAGACUCCUACGGGAGGCAGCAGUAGGGAAUCUUCCGCAAUGGGCGAAAGCCUGACGGAGCAACGCCGCGUGGGUGAUGAAGGUCUUCGGAUCGUAAAACUCUGUUAUUAGGGAAGAACAAAUGUGUAAGUAACUAUGCACGUCUUGACGGUACCUAAUCAGAAAGCCACGGCUAACUACGUG